ACGGCCAUAUCACGUUAAAAUACCAGUUCCCAUACGAUCACCGAAGUUAAACAACGUCGAGUCAGGUCAGUACCUAGAUGGGUGACAGCUUGGGUGUGCGGAUGGU